CCUACGGGAGGCAGCAGUGAGGAAUAUUGGUCAAUGGGCGGAAGCCUGAACCAGCCAAGUCGCGUGAGGGAUUAAGGCCCUGCGGAUCGUAAACCUCUUUUGCAGGGGAGCAGAGGUCCGGAUGUGACCGGGCCGGGAGAGUAACCGGAGAAAAAGCAUCGGCUAACUCCGUGACAGCAGCCGCGGUAAUACGGGGGAUGCGAGCGUUAGCCGGUUUUAUUGGGUUUAAAGGGUGCGUAGGAGGGCAUUUAAGCCGGCGGUCAAAUGUCGGGGCUCAACCCCGGCCUGCCGUCGGAACUGGGUGCCUUGAGUGGGCGAGAGGUAUGCGGAAUGCGUGGUGUAGCGGUGAAAUGCAUAGAUAUCACGCAGAACCCCGAUUGCGAAGGCAGCAUACCGGCGCCCUACUGACGCUGAGGCACGAAAGUGCGGGUAUCGAACAUGAUUAGAUACCCGUGUAGUC
rnacentral:rRNA from 1 species